AUAUUCCGACAGGGGAGCGCCACAGCGCUGAGAGUGCGGCACCGGGCCGCAGACCCUCUGAACCUCGCCCAGGUCAUUCUGGGUAGGAAGUUCGGUCAUCACUCGAG
rnacentral:ncRNA from 2 species